UUUGGACAUAGCGUCAUAGAGGGUGAGAAUCCCGUCUGUGGCCGCCAUUCGAGCCCAUGUGAAACCUCUUCGACGAGUCGAGUUGUUUGGGAAUGCAGCUCAAAGUGGGUGGUAAAUUUCAUCUAAAGCUAAAUACCGGCUGGAGACCGAUAGCAUACAAGUAGAGUGAUCGAAAGAUGAAAAGCACUUUGGAAAGAGAGUUAAAUAGUACGUGAAAUUGUUGAAAGGGAAGCGCUUGCAACCAGACCUGCCCGUGGGUGAUCAGCCGCUGUUCUCAGCGGUGCACUCGCCCUACGAUCAGGCCAGCAUCGGUUUCGGCGGUCGGAUAAAGGCCCUGGGAACGUAGCUCCCUUUCGGGGGAGCCUUAUAGCCCUCGGCGCAAUGCGGCCAGGCGAGACCGAGGACCGCGCUUCGGCUAGGAUGCUGGCAUAAUGGUUGUAAGCGACCCGUCUUGAAACACGGACCAAGGAGUCUAACAUCUAUGCGAGUGUUUGGGUGUUAAACCCCUACGCGGAAUGAAAGUGAACGGAGGUGAGACCCCUGAAGGGCGCAUCAUCGACCGAUCCAGAUGUCUUCGGAUGGAUUUGAGUAGGAGCAUAACUGUUGGGACCCGAAAGAUGGUGAACUAUGCCUGGAUAGGGUGAAGCCAGAGGAAACUCUGGUGGAGGCUCGCAGCGGUUCUGACGUGCAAAUCGAUCGUCAAAUCUGGGUAUAGGGGCGAAAGACUAAUCGAACCA
rnacentral:rRNA from 1 species